GCCAUUGGUCCAAGGACGUAAGUGAGCAAGGUUGUACUACUGUAUUUGUAUGCAAGCGAUCCAACUAAUUAAUUGGAUGCUUUGUAAUGACUAUUGGUUGUGAAAACGGAAGUAGGAUGCACCAAGGCAAUUUGUGCUUCUGUCAGUUCAUGCAUGAGAGCAACGGAAGUAGGAUGCGGCAACCAAAAUUGUAAUUUGGCUGUCACUUCAUGAAUGAAAACACGACGAUCUAUCUGUCGAUGGACUGGAAUCCCUGCGUGCAUACAUGUGCAAUGUUUGUUUGAUUUCGGGCCGGUUCUUUUGCCGGCUUAGAGAAUAAGCCGCUUCAUCCCCAGCUUUUUUAUAUGAUUUUGCUAAAACACAUCUAGAUGUGAGAUAAGUAUUUUACAUCUAAGUCAUAUAUUAUUGACCUUACAAAAAGAUUUGUGU
rnacentral:lncRNA from 1 species